GUCUACAGCCAUACCACCCUGAAGGCGCCCGAUCUUGUCUGAUCUCGGAAGCUAAGCAGGGUCGGGCCUGGUUAGUACUUGGAUGGGCGAGUAGAUGGAAGAAGAGGCAAGGAUAUACA
rnacentral:rRNA from 1 species